GAUGAACGCUGGCGGCGUGCCUAAUACAUGCAAGUCGAGCGAAUGGAUUAAGAGCUUGCUCUUAUGAAGUUAGCGGCGGACGGGUGAGUAACACGUGGGUAACCUGCCCAUAAGACUGGGAUAACUCCAGGAAACCGGGGCUAAUACCGGAUAACAUUUUGAACCGCAUGGUUCGAAAUUGAAAGGCGGCUUCGGCUGUCACUUAUGGAUGGACCCGCGUCGCAUUAGCUAGUUGGUGAGGUAACGGCUCACCAAGGCAACGAUGCGUAGCCGACCUGAGAGGUUGAUCGGCCAUACUGGGACUGAGACACGGCCCAGACUCCUACGGGAGGCAGCAGUAGGGAAUCUUCCGCAAUGGACGAAAGUCUGACGGAGCAACGCCGCGUGAGUGAUGAAGGCUUUCGGGUCGUAAAACUCUGUUGUUAGGGAAGAACAAGUGCUAGUUGAAUAAGCUGGCACCUUGACGGUACCUAACCAGAAAGCCACGGCUAACUACGUGCCAGCCGCCGCUGUAA
rnacentral:rRNA from 1 species